UAGCUAGUUGGUGAGGUAAAGGCUUACCAAGGCGACGAUCUGUAGCGGGUCUGAGAGGAUGAUCCGCCACACUGGAACUGAGACACGGUCCAGACUCCUACGGGAGGCAGCAGUGGGGAAUUUUGGACAAUGGGGGCAACCCUGAUCCAGCCAUGCCGCGUGAGUGAAGGAGGCCUUCGGGUUGUAAAGCUCUUUCGGCCGGGAAGAAAUCGCAUGGGCCAAUACCCUGUGUGGAUGACGGUACCGGAAUAAGAAGCACCGGCUAACUACGUGCCAGCAGCCGCGGUAAUACGUAGGGUGCGAGCGUUAAUCGGAAUUACUGGGCGUAAAGCGUGCGCAGGCGGUUUUGUAAGACAGGCGUGAAAUCCCCGGGCUUAACCUGGGAACUGCGUUUGUGACUGCAAGGCUAGAGUACGGCAGAGGGGGGUGGAAUUCCACGUGUAGCAGUGAAAUGCGUAGAGAUGUGGAGGAACACCAAUGGCGAAGGCAGCCCCCUGGGUCGAUACUGACGCUCAUGCACGAAAGCGUGGGUAGCAAACAGGAUUAGAUACCCUGGUAGUCCACGCCCUAAACUAUGUCAACUAGGUGUUGGGUGGGUAAAACCAUUUAGUACCGUAGCUAACGCGUGAAGUUGACCGCCUGGGGAGUACGGCCGCAAGGUUAAAACUCAAAGGAAUUGACGGGGACCCGCACAAGCGGUGGAUGAUGUGGAUUAAUUCGAUGCAACGCGAAAAACCUUACCUACCCUUGACAUGCAAGGAACUUGCCAGAGAUGGCUUGGUGCCCGAAAGGGAGCCUGGACACAGGUGCUGCAUGGCUGUCGUCAGCUCGUGUCGUGAGAUGUUGGGUUAAGUCCCGCAACGAGCGCAACCCUUGUCGUUAAUUGCCAUCAUUUGGUUGGGCACUUUAACGAGACUGCCGGUGACAAACCGGAGGAAGGUGGGGAUGACGUCAAGUCCUCAUGGCCCUUAUGGGUAGGGCUUCACACGUCAUACAAUGGUCGGUACAAAGGGUUGCCAAGCCGCGAGGCGGAGCCAAUCCCAGAAAGCCGAUCGUAGUCCGGAUUGCAGGCUGCAACUCGCCUGCAUGAAGUCGGAAUCGCUAGUAAUCGUGGAUCAGCAUGUCACGGUGAAUACGUUCCCGGGUCUUGUACACACCGCCCGUCACACCAUGGGAGCGGGUUCCGCCAGAAGUGGGUAGCCUAACCGCAAGGAGGGCGCUUACCACGGCGGGGUUCGUGACUGGGGUGAAGUCGGAACAAGGUAGCCGUAGGGGAACCUGCGGCUG
rnacentral:rRNA from 1 species